rnacentral:RNase_P_RNA from 2 species
AUAGUAGAUCGUUCUAUCGCUUAUAAAAUUUUUAUAAGAGGAAAGUCCGGGCAACAUAGAGCAUCAUACUUCUUAGCCGAAGAUGUCCGUGAGGGUGUAGUAAUGCAGCAGAAAAUAACCGCCAAAAUAUUUUUUUGGUAAGGGUGAGAAAGUGAGGUAAGAGCUCACAGGAACUUUUUGAUAAAAGUUUUGUGCAUCUUAUGAGUUGAAAGACCAAGUAUAUUGGAUAUAAAAUUGCUCGUUUUGUCCAAGGGGUAGGUCGUUAGAAUUUAAUGGUAACAUUAGAUCUAGAUAAAUGAUAGAAAUUCUAAUUUUUAGAAACAGGAUCCGGCUUAUAGAUUUACUAUUUUU